rnacentral:lncRNA from 1 species
UAAAAAUAAAUAUGUAUAUAUGAAAAGUAUUUAGAAUUUAUUAAGCAAAAUGUAUAUCAAAUCACAGGGAAAAACAAAGAUUUUAAUGUGCCAAAAAUGAUUUAGAAAAGAAUUUUACAAAACCUAGUAUUUAAGUUAUAAAAUUGUUGGGGUGAUGAUAUUAAAAGAAAAGAAAAAAAAAUCUAAAAUCGGGAGAAAAGAAUUUGCC